UACGUAGGGUCCGAGCGUUGUCCGGAAUUACUGGGCGUAAAGAGCUCGUAGGUGGUUUGUCGCGUUGUUCGUGAAAACUCACAGCUUAACUGUGGGCGUGCGGGCGAUACGGGCAGACUUGAGUACUGCAGGGGAGACUGGAAUUCCUGGUGUAGCGGUGGAAUGCGCAGAUAUCAGGGAGGGAACACCGGUGGCGAAGGCGGGUCUCUGGGGCA
rnacentral:rRNA from 1 species